rnacentral:rRNA from 1 species
GAUGAACGCUGGCGGCGUGCUUAACACAUGCAAGUCGAACGAAGCACUUUAUUUGAUUUCCUUCGGGACUGAUUAUUUUGUGACUGAGUGGCGGACGGGUGAGUAACGCGUGGGUAACCUGCCUUGUACAGGGGGAUAGCAGUUGGAAACGGCUGCUAAUACCGCAUAAGCGCACGGCAUCGCAUGAUGCAGUGUGAAAAACUCCGGUGGUAUAAGAUGGACCCGCGUUGGAUUAGCUAGUUGGUGAGGUAACGGCCCACCAAGGCGACGAUCCAUAGCCGACCUGAGAGGGUGACCGGCCACAUUGGGACUGAGACACGGCCCAAACUCCUACGGGAGGCAGCAGUGGGGAAUAUUGCACAAUGGGCGAAAGCCUGAUGCAGCGACGCCGCGUGAGCGAAGAAGUAUUUCGGCAUGUAAAGCUCUAUCAGCAGGGAAGAUAAUGACGGUACCUGACUAAGAAGCACCGGCUAAAUACGUG